CACCCCUGGCAAUGGGCAAAGAGACAUCUUGUUGGUGCUGAUCUUACAUCAGUCAGAGGCAGAGCAGAUGGCAGUCAUUUGUUCAUCCUAGCUCGAUGCCUGGCUUGGUGGCCACAGCUGUCUUAUGCCUAGGACUCCUAA